rnacentral:lncRNA from 10 species
CAGGGCUUAGGGCUAUUCGAGGGAGGAGCACUAAAUACAUUUAUAUGACAGAGUUUCCAUGUCUUACACACAGAUCCUGAGCAGUUGUAGGCCCAGGGUGUGCUGUUACUGGCCUGAGCAGGACCCAGGGUUAAAGAAAGCAUCCUGCGAACACAAGGAACAACUGGCUCCCGUGACAGAACUUUUAACCAGCCUUUUCUCAAAUCUGUUGACUUAACGCAGGCCAGGGAAUUCUUUGAAAGGCAACAUGGCUAUAAAUCAGCAAGUCCUGCGAACGUGCAUUCCAGGGUCUUGGAGGAAAGGGCUGCACACAAAAGCACCUCUUCUAAGUCUUCAGGAAUGCUGUGAAGUGAUGCUUGAAACCACAGCAGCCAUUUUGGGGCCACGAGGCAAUAAGCACAAGGAUAAAAAGCCAAGAACCAAAGAUGGAGAAUCAAGGGUGUAAUGAACCUAGAUGAUAUGAUAUGACAGAGUCCUGAACUGCUAGACUUCUUACUAGGAGUCCCAGUGUCUCCUGAGGAAAUCCCUUUCCCAUUCAGCCGGCAGCUGCAGCAGGUGGGAUGGGCCAGACCAGCCCUCUGGGGAUGCUGAUCCCAGGGAGCAUCCAGGCCGGAAGGUCCAAACGGUAGGGACGGGGUUUCACCAUGCUGGUCUCGAACUCCUGGUCUUGUGAUCUGCCCGCCUCGGUCUGCCAAAGUUCUGGGAUUACAGGUGUAAGCCACAGUACCCGGCUGCCAUCGACUUUUUUAAAUAAGUAAGUGAUUCUCUCUGCUAUCAACGUCUGCUAUCAAUGCACAAGUAAUUCACAGUAUUCUUUAUUUUUUAACACAAAGUUUUCAAAAUUCAUAGAGAUUAUUUGUAAGACAGCUGUGAGCAACAUCUGAUACUAGGCUAGGACAUAUCCCUCCGCUUUGUUCAAGAAACUGCUCUAUACUUUUAAUCAACUAAAAUAAACAUGUGGAAACCAUUGAAAGCUUAUUUUCUGUGAACUCGUUCACAAAUAUAGGGGCAUACUUCAGAGUAAAAUAUAAUAUCUUCUCUACACAUGCAUCACGCAAACAUGCAUGCAUGCACACACACACAACGUAACUCAGAUGUUCAAACUGCCUUUGAAAGUGGCGUUGAGCAAAGCUGUCUUACCUAGUAGUGUUGCUAUUCAUCUUGGUUGGUGUAUUAGACUGUUCAGGCUACCAUAACGAAAUACCACAGACUAGGUAGCUUAAGCAACAGAAACUCACUUUCUCACAGCACUGGAGGCUGAAAAGCCUCAGAUCAGGGUGCUGGCCAAUUUGGUUUCUGUUGAGGGCUCUCUUCAUGGCUUGCAGACAACCACCUUCUCAUUAUGUCCUCACGUGGCCUUUCCUCAAUACAUGUAUGUAGAGACCUUUCUCUCUCUCUCUUCCUCUUCUUAUAAGGCCACCAGUCCUAUCAGAUUAGGACCUACUCUUACAACUUCAGUCCGUCUUAAUCACUUUCUAAAAGCCCUAUCUCUGAAUACAGUCACAUUAGAAUGUAGGGUUUAAAUAUUUGAAUCUCGGGGGUACAGAGUUCAGUGUAUAGAAAUUGGCUGAGGCUGGAUUGUUUUUUAUGCUGGGGCCUAUGUAUCUCAGAGAAUCAUUUAUUAAUAAUUCAAAUUUUCCAUGUGGUCAUCUUUAGAACAGUAAUUGCCAAAGGGCUGUGAAUCAGGUGUUUAUUGUAGAACAUGAACAGAUGAAAUGUAACAGAUAAGGCUCCCUUGGUAAAGCAGAGUCUUGGAAUACAGGGUGGUGGUGUUCUUUCUAAAAAUAAGUCUUGGUGGCUAUUGUGCUGCUAAUACUGAGGGCAUUUUAAAACGUAAACAGGGCCUAAAAGUAAAAGCUAGAUCUGGAAAGGAAAGGGACUAUUCUGCAGAAGGAACACAUUCUUUCCAAGUGGUUUGCAUAAUUUCCUAUGUCGCUUUCAUGUUAGAGAAAACACAUAGGUAUUUUGGAUGACUAUGUAGACCAAGUUUUCAUAUCAUCUCAGAAAUAUCACUGGGGCUGGUUUGGUUAAUUGAAGAAGGCUUGUUAACUUUUCUUUCAUGUGUAAUUUAAAACUGGAAAAUAUGAACGUGCUAUUUUCUUGCUUUCAGACUUUGUUACCUUCUGCCUUUGGACUUAGGCAGGCUCAAGCGGUGUAUGUAUAUAUGUCUGUAUGGCCUAUUUAUUAGGCUAUUGUUCUGAGAGAGGAUUUUCAAGAACAAAUUU